CACCGGCGGCUCGAGUGGUGGCCACUUUUAUUGGGUCUAAAGCGUCCGUAGCCGGCUUGGCAAGUCCCCUGGGAAAUCUGGCGGCUUAACCGUCAGGCGUCCAGCGGAUACUGCCAGGCUUGGGACCGGGAGAGGUGAGAGGUACCUCAGGGGUAGGGGUGAAAUCUUGUGAUCCCUGAGGGACCACCAGUGGCGAAGGCAGCCCCCUGGGCCUGUACUGACGCUCAUGCACGAAAGCGUGGGGAGCAAACAGG
rnacentral:rRNA from 1 species